UGCAAUUAGGUUUUUCAUUGCGCUAAAUUUUACUGUUUAGUGGGUAAACCCCUUAGUGUUUCCAUACACCUGACCUGUGAGAUUUCACAUGUACAUAUUGAAAAAUAAUACUCCAUACUUAUAGAUAGACUUCAUGGAACACUCCAAGUACCAUAACCAGUAGAGUGCGAUGUAGUGGUUAUGGUGUUAAUAUGUCCCUGGCACUCUCCCGAGGAAGUAGUCAAACCAUUUGCGUUUGAAAUGUUAAGAUGUAUGUAAAAUAUAUGUACCAUACAGUCAUAGCUACAAUAAUGUCAUGAUAAUAAUGUCC